GGGAGCGGCCGGUCCGGGGGGAGCUCCUCCGCUGCUCUGCGCUCGUUAUUCACAGGACGCGGCGGCGCUUCCCGGUGCCGCUUCCCAGUCCCCUGGGUGGAGGCUGCCGUCUAAACCUGACUCCAGAGUUUAAGAUGCAAUGGCCAGAAGACAUGAGCGUGUCACUAGAAGGAUGUGGACGUGGGCUCCGGGGCUGUUGAUGAUGACGGUGGUCUUUUGGGGUCAUCAGGGGAAUGGACAAGGCCAAGGUGGUGUGUGCAUGAGAAAGUGCUUAACAUCUGAAAACGGAG